CACGUAGGGGACGAGCGUUGUCCGGAUUCAUUGGGCGUAAAGAGCGUGUAGGCGGCCCGGUAAGUCCGCUGUGAAAGUCGGGGGCUCAACCCUCGAAUGCCGGUGGAUACUGUCGGGCUAGAGUGCGGAAGAGGCGAGUGGAAUUCCUGGUGUAGCGGUGAAAUGCGCAGAUAUCAGGAGGAACACCGAUUGCGAAGGCAGCUCACUGGGACGUAACUGACGCUGAGACGCGAAAGCGUGGGGAGCAAACAGG
rnacentral:rRNA from 1 species